UCUACUAUUCUCAGGGUAUAAAGCUUAGU
rnacentral:piRNA from 1 species